AGAAGUAGUGGUGCACCGUCACGUGACAACAUAUCGGCCUUGUUCUGUUUACACCUGUCGAUUAUUAACUUGAGCACAUUGCUCUGAGUUUCAUCUGUUUGUUUAAGUGGCUUCGCUCCACAUUCCUGAAUAUAAACACAACGAAAGAACAGAUAAUAAAGUGUAUAUGUUAUAAACGUUUUAAUUAUCUAAGAAGCGAGGCCUCACCUGUCGGUAGGUAAACCAGCAGCAGCAGCACCGUCACUAUCGUAUUACUCAUCUCGCCGCUCUUUAUCCUUCCGCGGAAGCUCGGCUCUUUAUCCCGUCGGCGACUGAAAAUCCGUUAAAAAGUAAAAAGUGUUCGGAGGAAAGCGUCCCGAGGCUGCUGCUCUUCAUAGUAAACAGACUGCUACACGGUAGGACGCCAUGAUGUUCGGUGGGGGUUCGGGUCCCUGCGCUGAAAGACGAGUCCGUGAAGAGGGAACUUCAGAUCACAAAGGUGACAUCAUGACUCCGCCCCCAGACAGGUGCAACAUGGAGGACACAGAAGAAGAAGAAGAAUAAGAAGAGGAGACACGUCACAGGCUUUAUCCAAAUAAUCAUUAUCUACAGCAAUUCAAGAAAGACUUGGAUGAGAUCUGGUCCUUUUGUGAAGUUCUCUAAAGCUGACUAUACAGAGAAAACACCACUCUAAAAAGUUUUGGCAAACAGCCGAAGAGUGUAAGGUUCACUCUCAGGAUGAGUCAUGUCGAGCGAGUGUCGGAGCUCUUUGUAGAUGGAGUAGUGGCACCAGAAGCAGCUCCUGUGGUACCUCUGCUUCCAGAGUUCUUCCAGGAAAUCAAGGAUGGUUAAUUUGUUCAGGCCCAGAGACCGCUGCACCAAAGCCUUUGUAUGAACUGUCAACAUUUCUGAUUAAAAAUGAAAGCAUUAAGAGAUACUAAUCGACAGCAUAGACAAGUAGGAUGACUAAGAAAUUUACAUAUAGUUACACAAAACAGUGAAGAGACAAGUUAAACAAUAACUACAAACAAUGCUGUUGUGUGGAUUACGGUCAUUUUGUGUAUCUUUCAGUCUCAGUGUCUCUCUCUUGGUUGGGGGGCCAUGUCUGUGUUUAGGGUACCAUUGUCCCAUAAACCUUCCAUGACAGUAGGUUAUUUGACCUAUAUCAUUACUGACAUAGUUUCAUUUUAGAACAUUUAAAGGUGUUUAAUUAAUAUUCGUUUAUUACACAGGAUAAUCCUUGUGACUAAUCAUCGUGUAGAGUUUAUUACUGCAGAGAAUAUUGGCUCUAAAUAUGAUAAUUUUUUUCUUGUUUUAUUUUGUGCCGUAGUCCUUUGUAACCUGCCCCAUUCACACAUAUCAAGUUUUUAAACUACACAUGUAGCAUGAGUGGAAACAUUUGCAGACUGAGUAGAUGGAAGUUAUCAACAAAGCUCUAGUGUUUGUAUGAUUGUGUGUGUUUGAUAAGCUACGAUAAAAUAUUUCCAUGGUACACACACAUUAUCACUCACAUUGUUAUCAAAUAAAACAGCUACACAAACAUUCAAGUAUGUGACAGACAAAAGGU